GUGACAGCCGCCGCGGUAAUACGGAGGGUGCGAGCGUUGUCCGGAUUUAUUGGGCGUAAAGCGCGUGUAGGCGGCCAGGUAGGUCAGCUGUGAAAACUCGAGGCUUAACCUCGAGAUGUCGGCUGAAACCAUCUGGCUAUAGUCCGGAAGAGGAGAAUGGAAUUCCCGGUGUAGCGGUGAAAUGCACAGAUAUCGGGAAGAACACCCGUGGCGAAGGCGGUUCUCUGGGACGGUACUGACGCUGAGACGCGAAAGCGUGGGGAGCGACCAGGAUUAGAAACCCCCGUAGUCC
rnacentral:rRNA from 1 species